rnacentral:rRNA from 1 species
ACACGCAUGACACACUGCAUAUCAAUAAGCGGAGGAAAAGAAACUAACUAGGAUUCCCUCAGUAACGGCGAGUGAAGCGGGAAGAGCUCAAAUUUGAAAUCUUCAAGGUUCUACCUUGACGAAUUGUAGUUUAAAGAAGUGUUUUCUGUUGGAGUUUUGGUAAAAGUUCUUUGGAAUAGGACAUCAUAGAGGGUGAGAAUCCCGUAUUUGACCAUUAUUUCCAACUUUGUGAUACACUUUCAAAGAGUCGGAUUGUUUGGGAAUGCAGUCCAAAAUGGGUGGUAAAUUUCAUCUAAAGCUAAAUACUGGCGAGAGACCGAUAGCGAACAAGUACCGUGAGGGAAAGAUGAAAAGAACUUUGAAAAGAGAGUUAAACAGUACGUGAAAUUGUCAAAAGGGAAGCGUUUGACACCAGUGUUGUUUUCUCGAAAAUCAAUUAAAAAUGGUGGGAUUUUGUGUUGUAUUGACUUUAUCAGCUUUCUGCACUUUUCUCCUAUCUUUUUUAAUGCACUUUUCGUUUAACAAGUCAACAUCAAUUUCUUUUGCUGUAAAAGAGUCCAUUGGAAGGUGGCUUUCUUUUCGGAGAAAGUGUUUAUAGCCUUUGACUUCUGCAGUCGGAGAGAUUGAGGUCUGCAGCGUAGAUCCUUCGGGGUUAGAUACAUUUGUGCUAAGCUAUAGCCUUUCAUAGACAACUUGUUGACUAUGAUCAGUCAUGUAGCUUACUCGCUUAUGCUAUUUUACCUACGCUUAGGAUGUUGAACUACUGAGACAUAG